CCCUCUCCUCUCGACUCUCUCUCACCGGACAAUCGCCGGAGUUUUCACCAAAAAUCGCCGGAGUAUGCUCUCUAUCGUUCUCGUCGGACCAGAUUGAGUAUUGACCGGAGUUUUCGCAAACAAUUGUUGGCUUUUCUCUCGUUCUUCCUCGUCGGACAAUGCUCAUUUGCAUAAAACGCUCACUGUCGCAGCAGCCGUCGCCGGUGAACCGUUCGAAGCACCAAGCGGCCUCGCAGGAGGAAGAGUUCGUCGACGAAGAUGUCUUCCUCGAUGGAACCCUCGUCCCUAAGGAUGAGACUCCCUCAUCCUCGCGACAUCGACGAACGCCAUUCCCUCGCCUCACGCCUCUCGCGGUGGGCCCGCGCUCUCUCCGACGACUACGCCUCCGCCUUACGUGACGCCGAAUCAUAGAAUGACGGCUAUAGAAGAAAUAGCAGGAUGGAUGUGCUUUGCAGUGACAAAAAUAGAAUUUUGACAUUGAACAAACUUUCAGUCUGACAAAAAUCUCAUAGAGUCACUUCUUUUGGUCAUGGAAUAGGCCGGAGCCGGUAUUCACACUGUGCAUUUCCUUCCAUUCAACCUGAUUGAUAAGCGCACAGCUCUCACAUACAUUGACAGUGAAGGAAAAAUGGUGUGCAAGCAAAGGUGCACCUGAGCAGAGAAGAUGGCACAAGUGAUGAAUAAGUUGAGGCUCUCAUUGCCAAAAGCUUGAUGAAAGCUUUAUAUUAGCUCUCAGGGUAAGUUGGAUCCUCUUAUUGGAAGGCAAGAACAAAUAGUAAGAGUUGUUCAAAUUUUAGGCAGGCGAACAAAAAAUAAGCCCUCCUUAAUUGGAGAGCCUGGUGUUGGAAGAACAGCAAUAGCCGAGGGACUUGCUCAGCGGAUUGCAAGUGGUGAUGUUCCCGAAACAGUAGAGGGAGAAAGGCAUGAUUGAUUUUGUCUUCACAUAAGUAAUCAGAUGAAAAAGCUGAUAACUACAGUGGGGAAAAAGCUUAGAUUUUUGUUAUGGGCAGGCCAAACCCAGCGAAACUUGCCAACUUUCCUGAGAUAUUAGAUUAAAUGAAAGUGCAUGGAUGAAAUGCGCAAUGAUGAUUGGUUGAAUUCGACGUUAACAGGUACUGGACGUUAACAGGUACGUUUUAGAACUUUCAAAACUUCAUAAUUUUCUGCUAAUCUAA